rnacentral:rRNA from 1 species
CCAGACUCCUACGGGAGGCAGCAGUGAGGAAUAUUGGUCAAUGGGCGCUAGCCUGAACCAGCCAAGUAGCGUGAAGGAUGACUGCCCUAUGGGUUGUAAACUUCUUUUAUAUGGGAAUAAAGUGCAGUAUGUAUACUGCUUUGCAUGUACCUUAUGAAUAAGGAUCGGCUAACUCCGUGCCAGCAGCCGCGGUAAUACGGAGGAUCCGAGCGUUAUCCGGAUUUAUUGGGUUUAAAGGGAGCGUAGGCGAGUUGUUAAGUCAGUUGUGAAAGUUUGCGGCUCAACCGUAAAAUUGCAAUUGAUACUGGCAGCCUUGAGUACAGUUGAGGUAGGCGGAAUUCGUGGUGUAGCGGUGAAAUGCUUAGAUAUCACGAAGAACCCCGAUUGCGAAGGCAGCCUGCCGCAGCGUUACUGACGCUGAAGCUCGAAAGCGCGGGUAUCGAACAGGAUUAGAUACCCGGGUACG